rnacentral:rRNA from 1 species
GGAAUAUUGGACAAUGGGCGAAAGCCUGAUCCAGCAAUGCCGCGUGAGUGAUGAAGGCCCUAGGGUUGUAAAGCUCUUUUACCCGGGAUGAUAAUGACAGUACCGGGAGAAUAAGCUCCGGCUAACUCCGUGCCAGCAGCCGCGGUAAUACGGAGGGAGCUAGCGUUGUGCGGAAUUACUGGGCGUAAAGGGCGCGUAGGCGGCCUGUUAAGUCGGGUGUGAAAGCCCGGGGCUCAACCCCGGAACGGCAUCCGAGACUGGCGGGCUCGAGACCGGGAGAGGAGGGUGGAAUACCCAGUGUAGAGGUGAAAUUCGUAGAUAUUGGGUGGAACACCGGUGGCGAAAGCGGCUCUCUGGCCCGGGUCUGACGCUGAGGCGCGAAAGCGUGGGGAGCAAA